rnacentral:rRNA from 1 species
CGGGCUUAACACAUGCAAGUCGAGGGGAAACGAUGUUGGAAGCUUGCUUCCGAUAGGCGUCGACCGGCGCACGGGUGAGUAACGCGUAUCCAACCUGCCCAUCACUUGGGGAUAACCUUGCGAAAGUAAGACUAAUACCCAAUGAUAUCUCUAGAAGACAUCUGAAAGGGAUUAAAGAUUCAUCGGUGAUGGAUGGGGAUGCGUCUGAUUAGCUUGUUGGCGGGGUAACGGCCCACCAAGGCAACGAUCAGUAGGGGUUCUGAGAGGAAGGUCCCCCACAUUGGAACUGAGACACGGUCCAAACUCCUACGGGAGGCAGCAGUGAGGAAUAUUGGUCAAUGGACGAGAGUCUGAACCAGCCAAGUAGCGUGCAGGAUGACGGCCCUAUGGGUUGUAAACUGCUUUUAUAAGGGAAUAAAGUGGGUCUCGUGAGACUUUUUGCAUGUACCUUAUGAAUAAGGACCGGCUAAUUCCGUGCCAGCAGCCGCGGUAAUACGGAAGGUCCGGGCGUUAUCCGGAUUUAUUGGGUUUAAAGGGAGCGUAGGCCGGAGAUUAAGCGUGUUGUGAAAUGUAGAUGCUCAACAUCUGCACUGCAGCGCGAACUGGUUUCCUUGAGUACGCACAAAGUGGGCGGAAUUCGUGGUGUAGCGGUGAAAUGCUUAGAUAUCACGAAGAACUCCGAUUGCGAAGGCAGCUCACUGGAGCGCAACUGACGCUGAAGCUCGAAAGUGCGGGUAUCGAACAGGAUUAGAUACCCUGGUAGUCCGCACGGUAAACGAUGGAUGCCCGCUGUUGGUCUGAAUAGGUCAGCGGCCAAGUG